AUGCUGCGGCCGCAUCCCCUGGCGAUGGCAGUGGGGGCGGGUGAGGCUGCAAGGCGACGAGCCAAGGCGGCAGUGCAGGGCCUCACAGGUUCUCGAUCUGGAGCGGCAGGGACGGACGCCGGCGAGGCUGGUCCCCCACCUCUCCUCACCUUCUCCGACGUUCCCGGUCUGGAGCGGGAGGGACGGACGCCGGCGAGGCCAGCCUCCCUUCACACACAGAUGAAGGAGGAUGGAGGGAAUGUGGAUACGGCUUGGUUAGCAUCUAUUGAGGUUGUUAGUGAGCAUUUCCUCCGGUGUCAACUACUAAUGAUAUUCUUUGUUGAAAUUAGCUAA
rnacentral:rRNA from 1 species